rnacentral:misc_RNA from 1 species
GCGGCCGCCCAUCCCGAUCGGGAUUUUCCUUAAAACGUACGCCU